UGUACUACAUUUUUAAUUACAUGUCAUUAACAAAAUGAUUCAGAUCCAGAUGCUGGUUAAGGUGCCAGGCUGCAGAUCUGUAGGUGGUGCUUGACAGGGCAGCCCUCAUUCAGAUAAAAAGUCAGAUGUAUAAAUGGCACAUAGUAGAUGGGGGGCAUGUUAGACAUUUUGCAUUAGAUCUAAUAGCUAGACUACUGUUUCCGCUGCCGCAGUCGCGGGAAACAGAGCCUCUAUAGGCCGGGUGAGUUGUCCAGCCCUGUCAAAAAUCAGUGGGCGGAGCAUCCUCAGCUUUGGGGACACCACAUCACAGGUGGAGAACUCUACUUAAUGAGACAAAUUCGUUCUUACAAAUCCAUUCACUCAUGACCUUCUAGUUAGGUCUCUGGCUAUUGCUCCCCAUGCUUUACACUGCAGCUUAAAUUCUAACUCACUGCUGAUUUAAGGUAUAAUAUGGAUAACAUUAUAAUAUACUACAGACAAAUAAACCACCAAUAAGAAGAUGCUGAGACUACACAUUUCUUCACAUAUAUUCAACUAGUUCACUGUGGAGUAAAUUCUAGCCUGUAGCAAAUAAUAGCAGAUGACCAGCACAGAAAUCCAUGGAUGGCUUUUGAUGGUUCCCGAUGUAUGCAAAGAGGUAUCUCCCAAGGAAGAGAACCAUCUCGCUAGCACCACCUCAGCCUUAGCUGCUUGGUCUCUGGUGCUAAGCGUCCUGCUCUUUGUGGGGAGUGAAAACACCAUCUCUCACAGUCAGAGCCCAUUACUCUCUACAAGUUCUUAAGAUACUUGGGGGGUCAUUCAUUAAGAAUGGUGGUUGAGAUGCAAGUCUUAAUAACCCCUUCCGCUGGCGGUGGAUCCGCCGGAGUUAUGUAGAGGCGCAGGUCUUUACAUAACUUUGGCACAUCCACUGCCGGUCUAAAUUUAAGACAGGUUCCUCGUUGUCUUAAAUUUAGACCAAAACCUAUAAUAGGCAUAGAAAAUUAUGAAUGAGAUGGGUCUGCCGGUCCGACCCCUUCCCCGCCCAGGCUACACCCACUGUAUUAGACCUGGCGUGAGCAGAUUGCAUCUCAAAUAGCCUUUGCACCGCAAUCUGCACCAGAUACACGCCCAAAAACUGGGGCAUAUCUGACUCUUUGGUUUCCACACGUUUCUUAUUUAUAACCUUCACAUCCCCGUAUCUCUAUCCCAUUGAGAACCUGUGG